GACGAACGCUGGCGGCGUGCCUAAUACAUGCAAGUCGAACGCAGUGGGGACGGGUGAGUAACACGUGGGUAACCUCCCAUCAGAGGGGAUAACACUUGGAAACAGGUGCUAAACCGAUACUGAUGGAUGGACCCGCGGUGCAUUAGCUAGUUGGUGAGGUAACGGCCCACCAAGGCCACGAUGCAUAGCCGACCUGAGAGGAUGAGCAGCCAAACUGGGACUGAGACACGGCCCAGACUCCUACGGGAGGCAGCAGUAGGGAAUCUUCGGCAAUGGACGAAAGCCUGACCGAGCCACGCCGCGUGAAUGAAGAAGGUUUUCGGAUCGUAAAACACUGUUAUUAGAGAGGCGGUAUCUAACCAGAAAGCCACGGCUAACUACGUGCCAGCCGCCGCGGUAAUAC
rnacentral:rRNA from 1 species